UUUUUUCCUAGUGCUGACUGAGUACUGCUAGUUUUUGUUUUUGUUUUCUUCGUGUCAGGAGCAACUGGAGUUGCUUCUGGAGUGAGAGAAUUGUCCGUCUGCAAGGACGUUGCCCAAGGGACGCCCGGAUGUUUUUGAUGUUUUUACCAUCCUUGUGGGAGGCUUCUCUCAUGUCCUCGCAUGGAGCUGGAGCUGAUAGAGGGAGCUCAUCCACACUCUCCCCAGGUGGGAUUCGAACCUGGCAGCUUUCAGGUCAGCAACCCAACCUUCAAGUCACUUAGUCCACUACGCCAUCUGGGGGCUCUAGUACUGCUAGUGAAGAGAGCAGUGUACUCAGAGAGAGGCCUUGCUAUUUUGAGGCCUGUUUGCUGCUGAGAAUAGAGGGAGAAGAACCAGGACUGUAUUCUUCUCUGAAGCAGAUUUGUCGACUGAGAAAGGACUGUUUAUGACUGUGGACUUCUGGAACAUCCACACUUUGGAAUUCUAGUGAUUGACACCCCUUUAACUGCCAUGACACCAUCCUAUGGAAACCUGAGAUUUCUAGGGACUAUUUUCUGUCUUUUUGUGAAGCGCAAUGGCUGGCGGAAGGAUCUGGCCAAUUCAAAAACAAAUAUUUUAUGUCCAGAGGAAAUUAACAAACAGAGUACUACAAUUCAAAGGAAGAGGACUGAAUCUGAAUCUGGUUCAGCCCGGCAUGCCAAACUCCAAUCAAUCCAAGAGAGACACACAGAGUUUGAGGACAGGAUCAGAGAUCGCUUUAUUGCUCCAUUUGGUCAAAGAAGGCUGUAGGGAAUUCUCCCAGUUUUGACAUGCGUUACGUUCACAGACAUGGACAUUUUAUAGACAUUUGUAAACAACAGAUAUUGCUUUGAUUGUUCCAAAUUACGAUCUGCAAUUUCAUUGGUUCAAACUACAUUCAUUAUUGUCAUGUUUACAGCUUGUGAUUGUUGUAUAGUGUGAUGAGAAAUUCAAUAAAAGUCUUUUAUUGGAGAAA